rnacentral:rRNA from 1 species
CCCUUAGAUGUUCUGGGCCGCACGCGCGCUACACUGAUGCAUUCAACGAGUCUAAAACCUGGUCUGAUAGGGCUGGGUAAUCUUUUGAAUGUGCAUCGUGAUUGGGAUAGAUGAUUGCAAUUCUUCAUCUUCAACGAGGAAUGCCUAGUAAACGCAAGUCAUCAGCUUGCAUUGAUUACGUCCCUGCCCUUUGUACACACCGCCCGUCGCUCCUACCGAUUGAAUGUUCCGAUGAAUACCAUGGACUGAGCGUAUGAAUGGGUUCGCCUAUUUCUGCUUCUCGGGAAGUGGAGUAAAUCUUAACAUUUAGAGGAAGGAGAAGUCGUAACA